rnacentral:misc_RNA from 1 species
GUAUAGGUUUAAUGACUGCGACAAGCACAAUCGUUAAAAGACAUUCUGUAACUUUAUAGUGUAUAUGAAAACAUAGCCUUGAAGAAGCAGGAGAAGGGCUAGCAUCUCCCAAACCGCAUUGACUGCGAGAGGUUUCAUUCAAGACUACAAGAUGUGCACAAGAGAAGAUAAAUAGAUGGACGAGCACAUGCUCAGUGAAGAGCCAGCAUCAGUACCAAUCGUAUUCAAUAAUGAUCCUUCCGCAGGUUCACCUACGGAAA